rfam:Schistosoma mattheei strain Denwood, Zambia genome assembly, scaffold: SMTD_contig0002574
AUCCGUCUGACAAGUUCCAAACAAAACGAAAUGCACGUCCUGGAU